GGGUCAAUGAUAAGAACUCAUAUGAUCAAGAAGAGAGAUGAUAACCUAAACAUCAUGCUCACUAGGAUUAUGUUGAGGCCC